GGAAAGGUGGCAGAGCGGUCGAAUGCGCCGGACUCGAAAUCCGGUUUACGGUUUUGCCGUAACGUGGGUUCGAAUCCCACCCUUUCCGCCA
rnacentral:tRNA from 1 species